UGCCAUCAUCAAAAAAUCUAGACUAGUGGAUGAGGUGUCAAAAAAGGCGUAAAUCAAACACUUGUGCAGCCUUUUCCUGCCCUAGUAUUUGACAUCUUUGGUGUAGGAGCUGCACAAGUAACAGUU